GCGGGGGUAGCCAAGCCUGGCCAAAGGCGCAAGAUUGAGGGUCUUGUCUCGUAGGGGUCCAAGGGUUCAAAUCCCUUCCCCCGCA
rnacentral:tRNA from 2 species